CCUGAGAAACCCAAAAGAUCGAAUGGGGAGAUUCAUCGUCAGCUCAUUUUGUAUAUGUUUAAGUUAUGAUGCGGGUUACUCUUGUAGUAUUGCUUGUACAUACUUUUACAUUUAGUUGCAAGAUGUUGUCGGCGUGCACUUCUCCCCUAGUAGAACAUCGCGACCCGUUGGCUGUCGGUCUACGACCCGAGUGGAAAGACUUUAAUAUUUUUAUAUAUUAAAGACACUUGGUGUUAUCUGAUCGGCUAACUGGCGGUACUCGUACGGUAUUUAGCCGCAUAAUUUUUUAUGCGUCCAUAUCCGUCACAAGCGAGGCCAUUUUAGUAGUAGUGCGGACCUAGUGCCGUCGCUAUUAUUGGCCAGCUGUUGGUUGUUACGGUUAUCUAGGACUGGCUAAAAACACUUUUUUUACCGGUCGGCGAUGCUACUGCUUUGGGUACUUUCAGGACCCGUCUUGAAACACGGACCAAGGAGUCUAACAUGUACGCGAGUCAUUGGGAUUUUUUAAAAAUUAAACCUAAAGGCGUAAUGAAAGUAAAGAUCGUCCUUGCGUCGAUUGAGGGAGGAUGAGUUGUCCUAAGAUACAAUUCCGCACUCCCGGGGCGUCUCAUUCUCAUUAUGAGAAGAGGCGCAC
rnacentral:rRNA from 1 species